ensembl:lncRNA LINC02142 long intergenic non-protein coding RNA 2142
GGAAAAGAAUGUUGUGGUUCUUGGUUCCUGAUAGGCCCCUCAAGGCUGAACCUCCUCACAUGUUGGAGCUUUAAAGAUACAGCUGUAUCAGGCCAGGCGUGGUGACUCAUGCCUGUAAUCCCAGCACUUUGGGAGACCGAGGAGGGCGAUCGAGACCAUCCUGACUAACAUGGUGAAACCCCAUCUCUUCUAAAAAUACAAAAAAUUAGCCAGACUUGGUGGUGUACGCCUGUAGUCCCAGCUACUCAGGGGGCUGAGGCAGGAGAAUCGCUUGAACCCAGGAGGUGGAGGUUGCAGUGAGCUGAGAUCGCGCCACUGCACUCCAGCUUGGGCGACAGAGCGAGACUCCAUCUAAAAAAUACAGCUGUAUCAAAUCUGCUUGUGCUUUGGCCAUCUGAGAGAUCUUAAGUGUGCAAUGCAAUGAGGAUGGAGCAACGUAUACACCAAUCAAGAGAAAGAACAUGUCCAUUACCCCAAAAAGUUCUCUUACACCCGCUUCCAGGCAACUGAUCCUGAGCACACGUCUCCAUGGCGGCAGGAGUCAUUGCUUUUUAGAUCACGUUCUCCGAGCAAGAGCCGAGAAAUCGAUAUCUCUCACAAGGCUGUAGACGUGCUGGAACUGAUUAGUCAUUAACCUAUUGUCACUCCUCCCAGCGCUCAUGGAAGGAGUUGCAGCAUGUCAAUGGAUUUUAAAAGAGUACCAGGAUUAAACUUCUCCAUGGCAGUGGGCAUUUGUGAAAGGUCUGUUCUGAAAUACCAGUACCAUCUUCUCACAUGUUAAGGGCCAAAAAUCUCAGUAAGUCACUCCAAAUCAGGUUUUACAGAUGAUUUUUUGAAAUAUUGAUUCUGGUAUUGUCCCUGAAAAUUUAAUUUAUCAAAUAAGCCAAUUAAGAAGCGUCUUUUAAAGGCACGUAGGGACCAUUCAGCACUGGAUGGACAAGAAAAUGAACAUAUUAAUCUUACAGUCAGCAACGUUUUGUUGAUGCUUUGGAAACUGAACUGCAAAGGAGUACUUAAAUGAACUGAAAGAGUUAAUUUGACUUCUAAGAGCCAUAAACUGGCUUGGGUUGGGUGGAUUCUGUAUUCCCAGACUCUGGUUCAAUAAAA